AUACAGUUAGUGAAUCAAAUUUCCAAUAAUAUAUCCACGUGUACAUAAUGACAUUACAUUUUUCUUUUUCCAGAGCCAUGUACAGCAUCCCCAGAAGAGAUGGAGAAAAACAAUAUUAUGCUGAAAUGGAAGAACAACAGUAAAUUGUAUUCAGAAAGUGGAGAUGUUAUUGAAUUUGGCUGUAAAUGGGGAUAUGAGAAGGAUCCAACAUCUGUAUUUAGAGUACAGUGUGUGGAGGGGAAAUUAGCAUAUCCUAAAUGUAAGAGAAGCGCGUGGUGAGCUGCAGGUGAGU
rnacentral:lncRNA from 1 species